rnacentral:rRNA from 1 species
UUUUGUAUAAUGGGUCAGCGACUUAUAUUCUGUAGCAAGGUUAACCGUAUAGGGGAGCCGGAGGGAAACCGAGUCUUAAUUGGGCGUUAAGUUGCAGGGUAUAGACCCGAAACCCGGUGAUCUAGCCAUGGGCAGGUUGAAGGUUGGGUAACACUAACUGGAGGACCGAACCGACUAAUGUUGAAAAAUUAGCGGAUGACCUGUGGCUGGGGGUGAAAGGCCAAUCAAACCGGGAGAUAGCUGGUUCUCCCCGAAAGCUAUUUAGGUAGCGCCUCGUGAAUUCAUCUCCGGGGGUAGAGCACUGUUUCGGCUAGGGGGCCAUCCCGGCUUACCAACCCGAUGCAAACUGCGAAUACCGGAGAAUGUUAUCACGGGAGACACACGGCGGGUGCUAACGUCCGUCGUGAAGAGGGAAACAACCCAGACCGCCAGCUAAGGUCCCAAAGUCAUGGUUAAGUGGGAAACGAUGUGGGAAGGCCCAGACAGCCAGGAUGUUGGCUUAGAAGCAGCCAUCAUUUAAAGAAAGCGUAAUAGCUCACUGGUCGAGUCGGCCUGCGCGGAAGAUGUAACGGGGCUAAACCAUGCACCGAAGCUGCGGCAGCGACACUGUGUGUUGUUGGGUAGGGGAGCGUUCUGUAAGCCUGUGAAGGUGUGUCGUGAGGCAUGCUGGAGGUAUCAGAAGUGCGAAUGCUGACAUAAGUAACGAUAAAGCGGGUGAAAAGCCCGCUCGCCGGAAGACCAAGGGUUCCUGUCCAACGUUAAUCGGGGCAGGGUGAGUCGACCCCUAAGGCGAGGCCGAAAGGCGUAGUCGAUGGGAAACGGGUUAAUAUUCCCGUACUUGGUGUUACUGCGAAGGGGGGACGGAGAAGGCUAUGUUGGCCGGGCGACGGUUGUCCCGGUUUAAGCGUGUAGGUGUGUGUUCCAGGUAAAUCCGGUUCACUUUAACACUGAGGCGUGACGACGAGGCACUACGGUGCUGAAGCAACAAAUGCCCUGCUUCCAGGAAAAGCCUCUAAGCAUCAGGUAACAUCAAAUCGUACCCCAAACCGACACAGGUGGUCAGGUAGAGAAUACCAAGGCGCUUGAGAGAACUCGGGUGAAGGAACUAGGCAAAAUGGUGCCGUAACUUCGGGAGAAGGCACGCUGACACGUAGGUGAAGUGAUUUACUCAUGGAGCUGAAGUCAGUCGAAGAUACCAGCUGGCUGCAACUGUUUAUUAAAAACACAGCACUGUGCAAACACGAAAGUGGACGUAUACGGUGUGACGCCUGCCCGGUGCCGGAAGGUUAAUUGAUGGGGUCAGCGCAAGCGAAGCUCCUGAUCGAAGCCCCGGUAAACGGCGGCCGUAACUAUAACGGUCCUAAGGUAGCGAAAUUCCUUGUCGGGUAAGUUCCGACCUGCACGAAUGGCGUAAUGAUGGCCAGGCUGUCUCCACCCGAGACUCAGUGAAAUUGAACUCGCUGUGAAGAUGCAGUGUACCCGCGGCAAGACGGAAAGACCCCGUGAACCUUUACUAUAGCUUGACACUGAACAUUGAGCCUUGAUGUGUAGGAUAGGUGGGAGGCUUUGAAGCGUGGACGCCAGUCUGCGUGGAGCCGACCUUGAAAUACCACCCUUUAAUGUUUGAUGUUCUAACGUGGACCCGUGAUCCGGGUUGCGGACAGUGUCUGGUGGGUAGUUUGACUGGGGCGGUCUCCUCCUAAAGAGUAACGGAGGAGCACGAAGGUUGGCUAAUCCUGGUCGGACAUCAGGAGGUUAGUGCAAUGGCAUAAGCCAGCUUGACUGCGAGCGUGACGGCGCGAGCAGGUGCGAAAGCAGGUCAUAGUGAUCCGGUGGUUCUGAAUGGAAGGGCCAUCGCUCAACGGAUAAAAGGUACUCCGGGGAUAACAGGCUGAUACCGCCCAAGAGUUCAUAUCGACGGCGGUGUUUGGCACCUCGAUGUCGGCUCAUCACAUCCUGGGGCUGAAGUAGGUCCCAAGGGUAUGGCUGUUCGCCAUUUAAAGUGGUACGCGAGCUGGGUUUAGAACGUCGUGAGACAGUUCGGUCCCUAUCUGCCGUGGGCGCUGGAGAACUGAGGGGGGCUGCUCCUAGUACGAGAGGACCGGAGUGGACGCAUCACUGGUGUUCGGGUUGUCAUGCCAAUGGC